AAUAAGUGUUGUUUAUAUUUAACGUUUGAUCGUUCGUCUUAUUUAAAUUUUUUUUAUGAUUAGUUUUUUAUUGUUAUUAGAUGACAAAACAUGAAUAAUACUUUAUGUGUGACUAUUUUUUAUUUUUUUAUAUAUUUUUAAAAUAAGACGGACGGUUAAAUGUUGGACAUAGAUACCUACUUCUAUACUUAUU
rfam:Oryza glaberrima chromosome 1 Oglab01_0303_1, whole genome shotgun sequence.